UGCAAGUCGAGCGAACCCUUCGGGGUGAGCGGCGGACGGGUGAGUAACGCGUGGGUAACCUGCCCUGUACACACGGAUAACAUACCGAAAGGUAUGCUAAUACGAGAUAAUAUAUUUUAAUCGCAUGGUUAAGAUAUCAAAGCUCCGGCGGUACAGGAUGGACCCGCGUCUGAUUAGCUAGUUGGUGAGGUAAUAGCUCACCAAGGCGACGAUCAGUAGCCGACCUGAGAGGGUGAUCGGCCACACUGGAACUGAGACACGGUCCAGACUCC
rnacentral:rRNA from 1 species